GGGUUGUGAGGUUAAGCGACUAAGCGUACACGGUGGAUGCCCUGGCAGUCAGAGGCGAUGAAGGGCGUACUAAUCUGCGAUAAGCGCCGGUAAGGUGAUAUGAACCGUUAUAACCGGCGAUACCCGAAUGGGGAAACCCAGUGUGAUUCGUCACACUAUCAUUAACUGAAUCCAUAGGUUAAUGAGGCGAACCGGGGGAACUGAAACAUCUAAGUACCCCGAGGAAAAGAAAUCAACCGAGAUUCCCCCAGUAGCGGCGAGCGAACGGGGAGGAGCCCAGAGCCUGAAUCAGCAUGUGUGUUAGUGGAAGCGUCUGGAAAGGCGCGCGAUACAGGGUGACAGCCCCGUACACAAAAGCGCAUGUGCUGUGAGCUCGAUGAGUAGGGCGGGACACGUGGUAUCCUGUCUGAAUAUGGGGGGACCAUCCUCCAAGGCUAAAUACUCCUGACUGACCGAUAGUGAACCAGUACCGUGAGGGAAAGGCGAAAAGAACCCCGGCGAGGGGAGUGAAAAAGAACCUGAAACCGUGUACGUACAAGCAGUGGGAGCACCCUUUGGGUGUGACUGCGUACCUUUUGUAUAAUGGGUCAGCGACUUAUAUUCUGUAGCAAGGUUAACCGAAUAGGGGAGCCGGAGGGAAACCGAGUCUUAACCGGGCGUUAAGUUGCAGGGUAUAGACCCGAAACCCGGUGAUCUAGCCAUGGGCAGGUUGAAGGUUGGGUAACACUAACUGGAGGACCGAACCGACUAAUGUUGAAAAAUUAGCGGAUGACCUGUGGCUGGGGGUGAAAGGCCAAUCAAACCGGGAGAUAGCUGGUUCUCCCCGAAAGCUAUUUAGGUAGCGCCUCGUGAAUUCAUCUCCGGGGGUAGAGCACUGUUUCGGCUAGGGGGCCAUCCCGGCUUACCAACCCGAUGCAAACUGCGAAUACCGGAGAAUGUUAUCACGGGAGACACACGGCGGGUGCUAACGUCCGUCGUGAAGAGGGAAACAACCCAGACCGCCAGCUAAGGUCCCAAAGUCAUGGUUAAGUGGGAAACGAUGUGGGAAGGCCCAGACAGCCAGGAUGUUGGCUUAGAAGCAGCCAUCAUUUAAAGAAAGCGUAAUAGCUCACUGGUCGAGUCGGCCUGCGCGGAAGAUGUAACGGGGCUAAACCAUGCACCGAAGCUGCGGCAGCGACACUGUGUGUUGUUGGGUA
rnacentral:rRNA from 2 species